rnacentral:rRNA from 1 species
AUCGGACUUAGUGAUCCGGUGGUUCUGCGUGGAAGGGCCAUCGCUCAACGGAUAAAAGCUACCCUGGGGAUAACAGGCUUAUCUCCCCCAAGAGUCCACAUCGACGGGGAGGUUUGGCACCUCGAUGUCGGCUCAUCACAUCCUGGGGCUGUAGUAGGUCCCAAGGGUUGGGCUGUUCGCCCAUUAAAGUGGUACGCGAGCUGGGUUCAGAACGUCGUGAGACAGUUCGGUCCCUAUCCGUCGCAGGCGUAGGAAAUUUGAGAAGACCUGUCCUUAGUACGAGAGGACCGGGAUGGACGUACCUCUGGUGUACCAGUUGUCCUGCCAAGGGCAUGGCUGGGUAGCUAUGUACGGAAUGGAUAAGCGCUGAAAGCAUCUAAGCGCGAAGCCAACUUCAAGAUAAGAUUUCCCACCGCAAGGGUAAGACCCCAGAAAGACUAUCUGGUUGAUAGGUCGAAGGUGUAAGUUCAGCAAUGUAUUUAGCUUAUCGAUACUAAUAGGUCGAGGACUUGACCAAU